UAGUGACUGCGGAGGAUCAUUA
rnacentral:rRNA from 3 species